rnacentral:rRNA from 1 species
CCUACGGGUGGCAGCAGUCGAGAAUCAUUCACAAUGGGGGAAACCCUGAUGGUGCGACGCCGCGUGGGGGAAUGAAGGUCUUCGGAUUGUAAACCCCUGUCAUGUGGGAGCAAAUUAAAAAGAUAGUACCACAAGAGGAAGAGACGGCUAACUCUGUGCCAGCAGCCGCGGUAAUACAGAGGUCUCAAGCGUUGUUCGGAAUCACUGGGCGUAAAGCGUGCGUAGGCUGUUUCGUAAGUCGUGUGUGAAAGGCGCGGACUCAACCCGCGGUCGGCACAUGAUACUGCGAGACUAGAGUAAUGGAGGGGGAACCGGAAUUCUCGGUGUAGCAGUGAAAUGCGUAGAUAUCGAGAGGAACACUCGUGGCGAAGGCGGGUUCCUGGACAUUAACUGACGCUGAGGCACGAAGGCCAGGGGAGCGAAAGGGAUUAGAUACCCGAGUAGUC